UUUAAUUGUUAGAGAAAUCUAUAUAGAAAUGGAAAUGGAAAUGGAAUUAGUUGAGUCUCAACCCAAAAACGACAUCGUUUUACAAGAAGAACAACAAGUCAUUGACAUUGCCGGUAAUGUCACCGGAAACGAACCAGAGCGGCCACUGUCCUUUGUGCUCUGCUUCAGUAACCUCACUUACAGUGUCAAGCUUCGUCGUCCGAACAAGUUCAACGUAUUCCGGCGGAGCACGUCCGUACCACCGGAAGAGAAAACGAUUCUGGAUAACAUCUCCGGAGAAGCUUACGACGGCGAGAUUCUGGCACUGUUGGGAGCAAGUGGUUCGGGAAAAACGACAUUGAUCGAUGCUCUCGCUAAUAGAAUUGAGAAAGAGAGCUUGAAAGGAACCAUAACUCUGAACGGAGAGUUCGUAGACUCGCGGCUCUCGAAGGCCAUUACUGGGUACGUAAUGCAAGAUGAUCUCUUGUACCCGAUGCUUACGGUGGAAGAAACGCUCACUUUCGCGGCAAAGUUCCGGCUUCCGAGGUCGCUACCCAAGUCGAAGAAGAAGGCACGAGUUCAGUCUUUGAUAGAUCAGUUGGGGCUUCGAAACGCUGCCAACACCAUAAUCGGCGACGAGGGCCAUCGUGGAGUCUCCGGCGGAGAGAGGAGACGAGUUUCGAUCGGCGUCGACGUGAUUCACGACCCGAUUCUUCUGUUCCUAGAUGAACCCACUUCGGGACUCGACUCCACUAGUGCGUUCAUGGUGGUGAAAGUUUUGAGAAGAAUCGCCGAGAGUGGAAGCCUCGUCGUUAUGUCUGUACACCAACCGAGUUACCGUAUUCUUGGCUUGCUCGACCGUUUGAUCUUCCUCUCCGGCGGGAAAAUAGCUUACAGUGGUUCUUCCACGAACCUUACUGAAUUUUGCUCUGCUUUCGGCCACCCGAUUCCGGAAAACGCUAACCAAGUCGAGUUCAUGCUCGAUAUGAUUUCUGAGCUCGAAGCUUCUCCCACCGGAAUCACCAGCUUGGUGGAGUUUAACAAUCUUUCCAGCUCCGGCGCCGACUAUCGUCAGGUUCCACUACUCAAAGAAGCAUUAAAGGCGGGCAUUUCCAAAGGAAAGUUUAUAACAUCUAACAACGAAAGCAUAAGCAGCCCGAUCAACGGAAAAGUCUCCGGUAUCCGAAAAUUCGCGAACCCCAUAUGGAUUGAAACGCUGGUUCUGACGAAGCGUUCGAUGCUCAAUUCUCGGAGAACCCCAGAACUAUUCGUGACUCGUUUGAUCACUGUUUUAACCACUGGUCUUUUACUGGCCACCAUUUAUUGGCGUCUCGACGAUUCUCCAAAAGGGAUCAGAGAACGAAUGGGAUUCUUCGCUUUCGCCAUAUCCACCACUUACUUCUCGAGCUGUCAGUCUCUUCCUCUCUUGCUCCAAGAACGAUUCAUCUUCACCAGAGAAACCGCCUUCAACUCGUACCGAAGACUCUCCUACGCUCUCUCCCAAGCCAUAACAAUCCUCCCACUCCUACUGGUUCUCUCGCUCGCGUUCUCGACGGCGACGUUUUGGGCAGUGGGACUCGGCGGAGGACUCCGGGGCUUCCUUUUCUACCUCUGCAUCGUCUCAGGUUCGUUCUGGGCCGGAAACUCAUUAGUUGUAUUCCUCUCCGGGUUGGUAUCUCACGUGUUGGUCGGGUACACGGUGGUGGUGUCCGUCUCCGCCUACUUCCUCCUCCUGAGUGGAUUCUUCAUCAACCGGAAUCGGAUUCCCGAUUACUGGGUUUGGUUCCAUUACCUUUCUCUGAUCAAGUACCCAUACGAGGCUGUUAUGAGGAGCGAAUUCGAAAACCCGGCAAGGUGUUUCGAGCGAGGAGUGGAUAUGUUCGAUGCCACGCCGUUUGCUAAUGCACCGGCCGCCGUGAAGGAGGUGGUGUUGGGGAACCUGAGCACGGCGGUGGGACUCAAUGUGACGAGCACCACGUGUUUGAAGAAUGGAUUGGAUGUGUUGAAGGAAGUAGGGAUCACUGAGCUGAGUAAUAAGUGGGAAUAUUUGGCUAUUUUGGUAGCUUGGGGAUUGUUUUAUAGGAUUCUCUAUUACAUUUCUUUGUUGAUUUUAUGGAAAAAUAAGAGGAAGUAAAUUUAGUGUAAUGGCUUUUGGGAGUGUCUUUAUUAUGUAUGAUUUUAUUUAGUUAUUAAUAUUGUUAUUAGUGUGUAUACAAGCGGUAAAUCCAGCAUGGGGCGUGGAAGGUUAUGAUCUUUUUGUUUCGGGAGGAAUAGCUUCUCAUCGUAUUGCAACGGGAACUUUGGGCAUAUUGGCGGGUGUAAAACCUAAGACUUUUUCAGGUUGAAAAGUCAAUUAUGGGAGGGAAAAAAAAAAAUUUAAAAUCAUAUAUGUGAUUGUUUUCCUUUUCUUCUCCCUCCCUCCCGAACCUUUCUCUUUCUUCUUCUUCUCUCUUUUUUUUUUUCUUUUUCUUUUCCUUCCUUUGUUUUCUCUCCAAACCAGCCACGGCAAGCUUCAGACCAGCCACCGUCGGAGCUCCAUUUCUGACACGCGCUGGAGCUGCAGCUUCCCUGACCGGCGAUGACGGAAACCCCAAAGUUUGGUGACCAUCGGAGCAAGGACGCGCCUGUACGGCCACUCCGAAGUUUUGCCGUCCAAACUUUGAGGUGACUUUCCGGCGAACUCCGACCACCGUUCGGCGAAUGGGUGGUACCGUUGGAAUCAGCAUCGUGAAAGGAUCGUCGCCCACGAAGUCAUCCUGGUCAACUCGCCAUUUUUCUCCGGCGAGAUUUUGGGUAUCUUCGCCCCUUUGGAAGCAUUUUCCGGCGACACCGGAGGUCAUUUGGGCGAAUGAGCUGUACUUUCGUGAUGUACUCAUCGAGAUGAUCGUUUUGAUAUAUGCUAUGCAUAUAUUCGUCGACGUUUCCGGUACUGCCACCAACCGCUAUAGUGCACCGCUUGGGAAAAGCGUGAUAUUAAAAUCAGACUAAAUCAUUCUAAGAUCAUCGAUAAGCUUAGGAGCGUUGCUUUGGGCUCGGAUUAAAUUCUAAAGAGGAGCCUAGUGAAGCGAACGUGGAAAAGUAUGAAUUGUUGCUGAAGCCAAGGUGUUUAGAGCCACAGUCCUAUCUUUUGAACAUUGUAUGUAUUUAAUUUGGAACCUAUCGGUCUGUACAUCUAAAUUAGCUAUGUCUUAGUUAGGAAUGAGGAAUGGUGGAUGCUAAGUAUUAUUUCGGAUAUUUUAUGACUUAUUAAAUUUAAUUGUUUGGUGACUACAUAACUGUUGGGAUAUUAUUAUUCUAUGUAUUAAGAUAAAUGAUCCUACUUUUAUCCGUAAUAUUUUCAUAUAUAAUUAUAGGAGUUAUUCCAUUGUUUCGACUUAUAAUUAUAGUAAUAUUUAAUAUAAA